GCCUGGGUGGCUCAGUUGGUUAAGCGUCCGACUUUAGCUCAGGUCACAGUCUCGUGGUUCGUGGGUUCGAGCCCCACGACAGGCU
rnacentral:tRNA from 1 species